rnacentral:tRNA from 1 species
GCCUUCGUGGUGUAAUGGUAGCACGCUUCACGUGUAUUCGAGAGUUCCAGGUUCGAGUCUCGGCGACGGCA